CCCCCUUCAUCUCUGAGGAUAGCUGUGGUAGUCACUCAGAUGAAGGAGGGACAAAUGCUGGAGAGGAGGGACAAGGAAAAGGGUGAGAUGGGAUCUCCUGUGUGUUUGGUUUGGAUCUCCCUCAUGGCUGAGAGUGUCGAGCAUGUGUUCAUGUGUUUACCGGUGCAUCUCCUUCUGCUGUGUCUUUUGAUGGAUGGACCAACUUACUUCUGUGUGCAAGUUCCUGAGCGGCUCCUCAUCCCAAGUCCUGCCGGAGUCCUGUGGAUGUGACCUACUUUGGAAAGGGCUCUCAGGAGCUGGGUGUGAGGUACAAGACUGCAACCCCAGCAACGCGGAGGUGCAGGCAGGAGAACCAGCAGUUCAAAAUCAUCCUAACUACAAAGCAGAAUGCCCAUCACCGAGGACACCAGGAACAAUAAACGCUGGUGUGAUGGAUGUGUUGGUUGUGAACGAGUACAGACAGACACUUUGGAAAUUGCUCUGGAGAGGUCUCAAAAGAUUAAAAAUAAAACUACCAUACAAGCCAGA